GGUGUCAGGGUCAAAAGGUCGAAAAGCCGUUCAUGCUUGCAUGAUAAGGCUUUUGAACUUGUGACCCGCUAAACAUGAGGAAGUAGCGAUUUGCGUAGCAAAUCAGCGGAUUCCGAAUGUUUACAGAAUUGCGUGAGCAGCUUGCUGCGAAGCAAUUCGUUG
rnacentral:sRNA from 1 species